AGGAGUGGGUGAGACUCCCCCCCAAACAGAAUUCCUUGAUCAGGGGAGGGAUUGAAGGGUCCAAGGGUAGUAACAAAGGUUUGAAAGGUAGGAAGGACAGCAUCUUAGGCCAGCAAUUUUGGCCAAUCUCAUUGAUGGCCUCACAACAUGCGGGGCCCAGGUGGACCUGGUGCUUGACAGUGGAGGUAAAGAUCUCAAGCUCGCACCCUUCCACGCUUUUGAAAGAUGACCAACAUGCUUCCAUUUCUGGGUCUAGGAUCGGGGGCAGUAAAAACUCCCAUGGAGAUGGCAUCUUAAACUUCUCAUCGUCAGCUUGGCCGCUUCUGACUGCUUCUGCAAGCCAUGAUCGUGACCAUUAAUAACUCUCCUGCUCUCCUCAUGGUUGCAGUCCUUGUACUACUACUAAAGUGGGUUUGCAAUGAGGGCUUGAGGAUUGUAGGAAGUGGGAGGGUGGAGAUUUAUAGAGCUGGGGUAGAGAGGGCAUGGGGCUUUGAUAUAAUUGAAACGGUAACUAUUAAUAAUAAACAAAUAAAUAAAUUCUGCAUGAAUGCAUGCUCCAGAUAUCAGCAUUUGUUCGGUUAUUGGGAAUUAUUUGAUACUCCGGCUGCAUACUAUGCUGGAUAUGCAGAGCCUGUCCCAAAAUCAUAUUGGGUGACGAAUCCUAACCUCUUAUUUGUGGACACUUCUGUUGAAAUAGGACCGUUGGAUGUUUUUAUUCAUAACCAUUGGAUAAAUGCCCACAAGGAUUUUUAUCUUUGGUUUUGUUUUUGUUUUGUCGAGCCUAUGUUGUGUUCCUGUACCAUUUCUUAAAUGGUGCUGUGCUGACUCAUCAAUACAGUUGGCGUACAUGUACUUUACUUUCCAGAGUGGUGGACCACAAUUUUUAUGGAAUGUAUCCUAAUGAUCACGACCAUUGGAUGUUUGUAAUUAUCCCAAUGGUUGCUAUCAAAUGCAUGGUUAAAAUGAAAAUGGUCAUAUGGUCCAAAUUCAAGGGCCAAUAUUGGAUAUUUAAAAAUAAUGACUCGUGACCAAUGUGGUUUUUGAGCUGUUAUCUGGACACUUUGGGGGCCCAUAAUUUUGAUGGUCUGGAAUAUGGAUUGACAUACGUAUAGUGUAUGCCACUUGUAUGGUGGAUAAUGCUGAAAAAGCAGAUAGUAGCAAAUGUCAAAAAAUGCACAUGUUCUUUUUAUUU